rnacentral:rRNA from 1 species
CAGCAGCCACGGGAAUACGAAGGGGGCUAGCGUUGUUCGGAAUUACUGGGCGUAAAGCGCACGUAGGCGGAUAUUUAAGUCAGGGGUGAAAUCCCGCAGCUCAACUGCGGAACUGCCUUUGAUACUGGGUAUCUUGAGUAUGGAAGAGGUUAGUGGAAUUGCGAGUGUAGAGGUGAAAUUCGUAGAUAUUCGCAGGAACACCAGUGGCGAAGGCGGCUAACUGGUCCAUAACUGACGCUGAGGUGCGAAAGCGUGGGGAGCAAACAGGAUUAGAUACCCGUGUAGUCCCUGUCUCUUAUAC